GCUGGCUCUGUGCUCUCUCGCCCUGCACUCGGAGCGGCCGCCCCAUACGACUGCGCAGACACGGUGGUGAUUACGCGGCCUGAUUGACUAUUGGGCACAAUCAAUUUCUCGGGCGAACAUGGGAGCAUCAAGCCUGCAAAAUAUAUUUCGAGUUUGUGUGUUGGGUGAGCGAGUAAGCAGCGUACUACGGGAACAUUUUAAUGUCUCUUCUGAUAUAUCUUGCAUUAAAAUUAAUUUUAAUAUUAUUGUAAUUUAAUUUUUAUCUUUGAUUGUUUUGCGCCAAAGUAAAAAAA